rnacentral:rRNA from 1 species
UACGAAGGGGGCGAGCGUUGUUCGGAUUUACUGGGCGUAAAGGGCGCGCAGGCGGCUCCAAAAGUCAGGCGUGAAAGCCCCGGGCUUAACCUGGGAGGUGCGUCUGGGACUGUGGGGCUAGAGUUCGGGAGAGGAGCGUGGAAUUCCCAGUGUAGAGGUGAAAUUCGUAGAUAUUGGGAAGAAACACCGGUGGCGAAGGCGGCGCUCUGGACCGAGACUGACGCUGAGG